GUGAGUCCACGCUUGGUGACAUACAUCUGUGAUCUCCUCACUUGGCAAGGGGAGGCAGAAGUCUCUGGCGUUCGAUGUCAUCUUUUACUUCAUAGUUUGAUGUCAAUCUGGACUACAUGAGACCCUGGAUCAAGCCCUCCCCCUCACACAAAGAAAACACUGAAACUGUAGAUGAAUGAAUGAAUGAGGGAGAAGAGGAAAAAGCCAGGAACUUUCUCACAGGUCUGGGUAGAACUGACUCCAUAAGAUAUCAAAUUGGGGUUCGAGGACAGCCUGGUUUACAAAGUGGGUUCCAGAACAGCCAGGGCUGUUACACUUAGAAACCCUCUCUUGAAAAACUAAAUAAUAAUAAUAAUAAUUAUUAUUAUAAUUAUUAUUAUUAUUAAAGCAAGUUGGGGUGCAAGCUUUUAAUCCUAGCACUCAGAAGUCUGAGGAACUCUGUGAAUUCAAGGCCAGCCUGCUGUAUCCAGCAAGCUCCAGGCCAGUCUGGACUAAAUGGGGAGAUCUUGUCUCAGAAAAUAAACUAACAAACAAACAGGACACUCGAGUUGUGAAGCUAGGAUCACUUUUUCGUCUCUUUUUUUCUGGUUUCCUACUCUUCUCCCUUUCCAAGUCUGAGAGUCCAAGAAGAGACCCACACUGAGCGGCAGGAAUGGACGAUUGGCUGCUGGAGUGGAGCACGGCUGCCCUCUGGUGGCGACCUGGAGUGAGCCCCUGGGAAUGGCACGUGGCGAGGGCAUUAGCGAGCUGGGGAGAAUGGAAGAAACUUCUAGGUUUCUGGUGGAAAGAGACAGAGACAGAGCAGGACAUCAGGCACACUGCUUUGGCCUCUCCACCCAAACACAAAUACAACACACACACACACACACACACACACACACACACACACACACACACACACACUCACUCUCACACACAAUGCAAUUCUGAUUCUGGUUGGUUUGGAACUUCGCUAAGAAGAUAAGGCUGGCCUUGAACUCACAGAGAUCUGCCUGCCUCUGCUUCCCAAGGGAUUAAAGGCAUAGGCUACCACUUGCAGUCCCCAACUGUUUUGUUUGUUCGUUUGGUUGUUUUUUGCUUUUAAAUAUAGAAAUACAAUCAAGCUGGAAGUCCAUCUGCCAAAGCUACGGUAUGGUGGCUUUUCUGUUUUAAAACCAAAAGUCAUGUCCCUGCUUGUCUCUGGAAGCCUAAGACGUCUUGGAAGCUGAGACAGAAGGAUGAGUCUGUCAGAUGGUUCUGGGCCAGAAGGCUGGCGACUGAUACUCCAACGUUUUGAGGAAUGAGGGACUGUCCGAGUAGUCAUCUGUCUCUACAAAUUGGUUAAGUUUUGGAAGCUAUGGUUUGUGCUCCCCAUAUCUUCAGCUCCCAAAAGCCGCACUUCCAGACCCAAGGGUCUCUGCCCUCACCUGACAUUGAUUGAUAAUAAAGACUUGCCAUGGGCUGGAGAGAUGGCUCAGUGGUUAAGAGCACCCGACUACUCUUCCAGAGGUCCUGAGUUCAAUUUCCAGCAACCACAUGGUGGCUCACAACCAUCUGUAAAGAGAUCCAAUGCCCUCUUCUGGUGUAUCUGAAGACAGCUAUUAGUGUACUUAUAUAUAAUAAAUGAAUAAAUCUUUAAAAAAAAAAAAGACUUGCCAUACAGCCAAUGGCUGGGCACAGAGAUAGGGCAU